GAUAUGGCUCAGGAUGAACGCUGGCGGCGUGCCUAACACAUGCAAGUCGAGCGAAGCACUUUGCUUAGAUUCUUCGGAUGAAGAGGAUUGUGACUGAGCGGGCGGACGGGUGAGUAACGCGUGGGUAACCUGCCUCAUACAGGGGGGAUAACAGUUAGAAAUGACUGCUAAUACCGCAUAAGACCACAGCACCGCAUGGUGCGGGGGUAAAAACUCCGGUGGUAUGAGAUGGACCCG
rnacentral:rRNA from 1 species